rnacentral:rRNA from 1 species
UACGGGAGGCAGCAGUGGGGAAUCUUGCACAAUGGAGGAAACUCUGAUGCAGCGAUGCCGCGUGAGUGAAGAAGGCCCUUGGGUUGUAAAGCUCUUUCGUCGGGGAAGAAAAUGACUGUACCCGAAUAAGAAGGUCCGGCUAACUUCGUGCCAGCAGCCGCGGUAAUACGAAGGGACCUAGCGUAGUUCGGAAUUACUGGGCUUAAAGAGUUCGUAGGUGGUUGAAAAAGUUGGUGGUGAAAUCCCAGAGCUUAACUCUGGAACUGCCAUCAAAACUUUUCAGCUAGAGUUUGAUAGAGGAAAGCAGAAUUUCUAGUGUAGAGGUGAAAUUCGUAGAUAUUAGAAAGAAUACCAAUUGCGAAGGCAGCUUUCUGGAUCAUUACUGACACUGAGGAACGAAAGCAUGGGUAGCGAAGAGGAUUAGAUACCCUCGUAGUCCAUGCCGUAAACGAUGUGUGUUAGACGUUGGAAAUUUAUUUUCAGUGUCGCAGCGAAAGCAAUAAACACACCGCCUGGGGAGUACGACCGCAAGGUUAAAACUCAAAUGAAUUGACGGGGACCCGCACAAGCAGUGGAGCAUGUGGUUUAAUUCGAAGAUACGCGCAGAACCUUACCAACACUUGACAUGUUCGUCGCGACUUUAAGAGAUUAAAGUUUUCGGUUCGGCCGGACGAAACACAGGUGCUGCAUGGCUGUCGUCAGCUCGUGUCGUGAGAUGUUGGGUUAAGUCCCGCAACGAGCGCAACCCUCACUUUUAGUUGCCAUCAUUAAGUUGGGCACUCUGAAAGAACUGCCAGUGAUAAGCUGGAGGAAGGUGGGGAUGACGUCAAGUCCUCAUG